UUUCUCUGAGAGACUGCAGAUAAUAAGAUGUAAACAUUAACACCCCGUGAAUACAAUUUAACUUCCUUUUAGCUAUAGCUUUACUCAGCAUGACUGUAGAUAAGGUUAGCAGCAAACAAUCAUUGGAGCUUAAUGAACAUUUUUAAAAAUAACUACUAAGCCCCCCCCCUCUACUUGUGAGUUUUGAAAUCGUUUUGUUUAUUUUCAGGGAAACCGUUUAAUUUAAUUGUAUGAUUUGUCUGCACUCAGUUUAUUCCCUACUCAAAUCUCAGCCCCAUGUUGUUCUUUGUUAUUGUCAGAACCUGGUGAGUUGUUUUGAACAGAACUGUUUCUCUCCCUCCUGUAAGACGAUGUUACUGCACAAGAGCACUGCAGUGUUUUUUAUAAUAAACUUGUGAACUAAGAACUGAGAAAGUAAAAAA
rnacentral:lncRNA from 1 species